AGAAAAACGUAUUUAUUUAUUUAUUUAUGACGAAACUGAGUACAUAACUAUGAAUUUCGUAGAUACGGUUGCACUUGUAAAAUAUUAAUUUCGGUGAAUGUUUGCGCAAGCGUAUUUUCACACGUUAUUAGGAAAAUGAAAUAACAUCGUAAAGUAAAUGUUGAUAAAAACUUAAUAAACCAAUGUUGAAUGAGUGAGUAGGCGUUAUUGAGGUCAACUUGUGAUAUCUAUCGUAUUUUACGCGAUAAACCAGACGACAUGCAGGAGAGAAAAGUAAAGAAACAGUAGGUUAUUUAUUCGAUGGCAUUUCAUUUAUAAUUCGCGUUUAGGCUUAAUGAUAUUACAUAAAUGUUUAUUGGCGAUGGGUGUAAACAAACCUAAGAUAAUAAUUAUGUACCUUAUCGAAAAUCGUACAAUACAGUUUCGCAGUAAAAUAAAUUUCAACUUACCAUAUAUUUUGAAAUGUCGCGCACGUUAAUUGUGUAUGUAGUAGAGUGAAAGUAAUACGAAAGCAUUAAUAUGUAAGUUAGUCGUGACAGAUUGUAGUGGGGUUGUUGGUUGAAUGACGAGAAGAUUACGAAGUAUUAUAUCGAUGCAUGUGUAAAGUUAUUGCGGCGUGUUGUACCCGCGUGUGUUGCAACGACUCAAAAGAACUCUUUGUACGUACAUAAUUCACUGCGAAAUUAAGUGGGGUAGCUAGCUGUUUGGAAGAUGCACCAGAGAGAAAGUUAUGCAUUUCAUAAACUGUAGGGGUGUGUGUAAAGGGCGCUAUUGUGACGCGUGCCGGACGCGUGUUUGUGACACUAAAUAAUUAACCUGCGUAUUUUUCACAGCUUCCAUGAUAAAAAAAUGUAAUUUCUUUGAGAUGGUAAUUGUUGUUUAAAAAAAUUACACAGUAUAUCCGUAUAUAUCAAUAGUCAAGUGUUCAUGUGUAUCAAUCAAUCAAUAAUUUUUAAAUAAUUUCAAAAAAUAAACGUAUUUUCAUAGUUACAUCAGAAUUUUUUGAGAUUUUUAUCCCCCUUUUCAUCAAGUUCCCAUUUCACAUAACCUAACCGCAUUUAAUUAUUGUCAAGCUAUCAUUAAUAAUGCAUACUACGAGUACUACAUACAUUGAUGACAUUCUCAUUUAAUUACAUGGUAAUCGUUUUUUUUUAUAUAAUAUCUAUGAUAUUUAUGAUUACAGUACACAACUGAUUCGUUUUUCUAACUAGACAAAGGAGGUAUCUUCCAGCAUGCGUGAACCGACUCGAAACGUGCUCAACAAAAAACAAAAAAAAAAAUUCAGCGUAUAGAGUUCUUAGAACCAGAUUCUUCAUUACCAGUUCUUAAAACAAUACUAUGCGUACUUUGGAUGAUGAGCCCAAUAGAAAUUAUCGUUGUUAAUGAGUGAACAUUAAAAGUCGUUUUUGAUGGAGUAAAAUUGAUUGUUUUCUUUUUUUUGAGUGUCAUUAGAGUGUCAUUAGGGUAGUUUCGGAAAUGGAUAAGUCUGUGGUUUUUGGUAACAUAGUCCGGUAACAAGUUUGGUUGCUAAAGUGUUUUAUUACAUUUUGCUAUGGGGCAAUGCGGCCGAUGUAGAAAUGAUAUUUAUUCUGCAGAAAAGAGCUAUACGUGCUAUUUAUAACAUGCACUCAAGGGAAUCCCUGAGGGAGAAAUUUAAAGAAAUUAAAGUUCUCACUAUGCCAUCCCAGUACAUUUUUGAAAAUUUGAUGUAUGUUCGUAAACAUAUUGAGGAGUUUCCUAAACAGUCGGACAUACAUAAUAGAAAUACUAGGAACAAACACAAGCUUGUUGUGCCGAUGAGUAGGUUACAUAAGAUACGAAAUUCAUUCGGGUGUUUGUCUGUGCGCCUGUACAACAAAAUCCCACAUGAUGUUCAGAACCUACAUAUACAUAGGUUUAAGAAAACUAUUAAAGAACAUAUGUGCAAUAAAGCUUACUAUAAAGUCAAUGAUUGUCUAGAAGAUUGCACAAAGUGGGAAUGAGUUGCUCGCUCCAGGCAUUUCAAUAUUGUAGUAAUUGUUACGUUAUAAUACUCAGUGUAAAAAAUUCAUAUUUAAAAAAAAAAAAUAUUAAAAAAUAAAUAAAUAAUAAUUUUAUAUGUAAAAAAAAAAGACACGCCCGCUGAGUUUCUUGCCAAUUCUUCUCAGGACGGAGGCUAGUUCUUGUGAAUUGGCGGUAGUUCUUUUGACGUUCAACAAGUAUGUACUUUCAUUUAUGUUGAAUAAAAUUUUUUUGAUUUGA